AAAUAGCCAACACAGAAGAACUCAAUGGUGGUUUUGUCUCACUUGCUUUGUUUGGGCUUUCUAUGUCUUACUGAUCUUUUGCUUGUUUAUUAUGGUUUCUGAUUUUGUGUUUUUAUAGUGUGUGUGUACAUGCAUGUGCGAGUGUGUGAGUAUGUGAACGUGUGAGCAUGUGAGUGCAUGAGCCUGUGGGUGUGUGGUGUGUGUGUGUGGGUGUGUUUCUUAUGUUUUCUCUCUCUUUCUAAUUCUGGUUUGUUUGCUUUUUUUGUUUGCCUGUUUGUUUUCUAGAGGAAGAAGAGAUGGAGCUGGGUGGGUGGGAAGAGGUUGGGGAGAGGAAGCCAUGAUCAGAAGAUACUUUAUAAAAAAUUCAAUUGAAAAAGACUGAGGAGUCAAAAAACAAAUAGGAAGUUGGCUUGGACAUGUUAACCCUGAUCUUCUUUGUACGAUAAUCUACCUGAGACUCUUCUCUUGGUGUGUCUCAAGACUCUAUAAAAGGCUCCUUGACUUAUAAUGUGAGUCAUGAUUCCUUUAUUUCCAUAGCAAAUCUCCCUUGUUCUUUCUCUCUCCUCACUUCUCCCCAGCUUCUUAGUGAAUCUCAGAAGUACUUCAAAGGACAGUGGGAACUUUAAAACAUAUAUCUGAUUUCACCUAGGAAUUUCACAAUUAAGGAAUUUGUGUUGUUUAGUAUCAUAUGAAUACAUGUUUAUAUUUGUUCAGGAAUUAAUAAAGGCAGUAAGUCUCCAAGUAGUUUGCUUAGACUAUGUGAACUUUUCAAGACACACAGAGCCAGAUGUUGUGGUUCAGCCUCUGAAUCUCAGUAUUUGGGGUGGUUAAGGCAGGAAGGUCACAAGUUCAAGACCACCUGAGCAACAUAGAUUAUUCUGUAAGACUAGAAACACAAAGGGAACACAUUGUUGGAACAGCAGUGUUUAAUUUGUGUGUCAGGGGUCAUUUAGUUUGACAUUAAUUUCCAAACUCUGCCUGUGUCCACAAAGGAGACAACUAUACAAAACAGCUAGUUUAAAAAGAAUGUUCCUGCCAAGCAGUGGUGGCUCACGCCUUUAAUCCCAACACUUGGGAAGCAGAGGCAGGUGGAUUUCUGAGUUUGAGGCCAGCCUGGUCUACUAAGUGAGUUCCAGGACAGCCAGGGCUAUAUAGAGAAACUCUUGUCUUGAACUCCACCCCCCCCCCCC
rnacentral:lncRNA from 1 species